AAAUAAUGCUUCACAUAUUGGAUUAAAAUAUAACUACAAAAUAAAUUAAGUAAUCAAGUUAAUCGCAAAGAAGUGGAAAAAAUCUAUUUUGACUUACUGCACUUUAUAACUUUCACAUAAUACAUUAUGAUACCAAAUCAGAAUUUGAAUAUGCCAUAGUGAAAUAUACUUUCACUUACAAUUUGGAAGAUCCUCUAUGUUAAAAUGAUAUUCAUACCGAUAUUUCCAAUUGCAUUUCAAAAUACCAAUAUUUUGGUAACAGUGAAAAAUAAAUUAACGCUUAAUAAUUUACCCUCACACCACAAAAAAAAAUAUUUAUGUUUAAUUUUAAAAGAAAAUUAAAAUUUUCUUAACCACACAUUUUAUGUUCUUCUCAUAC